GGAUAUCGCUAAAAGAUCCUAUUUCUGCUGCUCUCAACCGGACCUAGUCCCAGGCAAAGCACCUGGGUUUUCAGUUCAUAAAGCAGGGCCAGGAGAUAACUGCUACUAUUACAAAUAAUUGCCUGGAAAAAAAAAUGCAUUAGGAUUUAUUCCAGCUAUGUCAUGUUGCUCAACAUUACUGCUGGGUGUCUUAAUAAGAAUGUGAGGAAUUCAGACAUAUUUUGGGCUACCCACAAAAUAAAAGGUCAACCUCUGGUUUUCUAUUUUAACAAGGCAACUUGAGGAUAUAAAUCAUGAGCACCCUGAUGAAACUGGACGUUUGAUGAGAUCCGUAAUUUGCUCAGUUGCAAUAAAUCUGGUCUCCAACAGAGCACUGACACUGCACCAGGACCAGGGCCCCUCUACACCAGGCCAAAUAAACCCACGUGGAAAGAAACAGUCCUCACCUGAAUUAACCUGCAAGCUAAAUCAGUAGAAAAAAUAAAGGGAAAGUUAACAUCAGGAAUUACGGAAGGGACACAAGUCUUGCCAGCCUUACAGUGCUGUGUCUUAUUAAUGCAUCACACCUUUCUUUCCCAAGGCACAGCCAUGAUCUAAAUCUGCCUUCUCCCUUCCGAGUUCACACAUUCAGAUAGAGAUCAUCUCUUAUGCUCCCUGCAGUAAAAAUAGGGAUGAUUCCAAAGUGGAGCACCCGUCUCCAGUAACUGAACUGGAAGCCUACAGACUUACGUAUGUCCCCACUUUCCUCCUUGGGGGAAUAAUCAGGGCCUCGCAGGACGAUGGAAGGGAUUUUUGCAGAGGUACAUCCUCUCUGAAGGAACUGUCUCCUUCUACAACCCCCCUUUUUCCAUGGUGUCUCCAUCGCCAUUGUUUUUAACCUUGAUAAAUUGGCGCACACGGUCUUGUUUCUUCUUCCUGCAGUAAAUUACCUGCUUCAGUGCUGGUGCCACACACCAGAUGCACUCAACAUAUGGCACACGGAGGACUGCCAGAGAGGCCCAUUACGUCCUGAUGUUCAGUUCAUUUGAAAAGAUGUCAUGCAGCGUGAGCCCAGGCAGAAUUGCCACUCCCUCUGAGCUGUGAGCACUGGAGAAGGGUUUCACAUCACCGAUACCUCAGGCGUCUAGCUUAGGUGAAACCAAGGAUUUGAGCAAAGGACCUCAGCUCCUGUUGCAGGGGGAAGAGGAUGCUGCUGCUGAAGGAACAAGCCAGAGCACCUGAGAUAAAUCUGAAGUAGUCUAAAUGGAUCGUGCCCCCAUUUCCUCAGCUCAGGGCACUUCUCAGCUCAAGAAGAAGGUUACAUCCAGCCUUUUGGUACCGAAAGGGACGCGCUUGCAUCACAGCAGAGAAACAGCAGGGAGAAAUAGCACACGUCAACAUGCAGCAUUUCCUUCACCACCUAUGAAAACACCUUGAAGGGAUCCUUCACAAGAUACAGAAACACAAAAUAAAGCAAGUCGCCGUUAGAGGCUGUGCAGAGGAAAGGCUGAGCAGGGAAUGCAGAAGCAAUGUGUCCCUACAACAACAGUCAGCAUUUUAUCAACCUGGCCCAAAAGGUUCUCGAGGACUUCGAGAAGUGCUAACUUAUUGGCAAGCCAAAUCAUCACCUAUAAAAUAUUUACGCUUCUGACAGCCUUAUAAUCUGAAAUUCAGAAAGAGAGAUCUCCCCAGCAUUUUUCAGAAUGGGAAAGACAGCUGAGAAAUUAAAGAAGGGUGAUAAAGUUUUAGCAGAUAAUUGCAAAAAAGCAAGCUUGAAAACAGCCCGGCUAAAGAUACAUUACCCAGCAAAAUGGUCUCUUGCUGUUAUCAGAAUAAUCCUUAGGGGCAUCUUCAGUCCUAUAGAAUUUAAUAGGAAUGAAGCCCAAGAGGAUUUUGAAGCAAGUGCAUUAGAAGUCUGUAUUUGUUAUAGAAAAUGAUAACCUUUCUAUAGGGUUUUAGAAGCUCUCCAGCAGAAUUAUAUAGCAUAGCAAACAUUUCCUAUCACAUUUUGUAGGAUGAUUUAAAGUCUUUUUUUUUAAUGCCAGUGUUACAGAUACUGAAAAGAUCACUACUGUUUAUCUUAGAGAGGAAGAAAAUACCUAGUAGCAGAGGAAAAGUAUGAUGAAAUAAACCCUAGAGAAAAUAGGAUGAAAAUUUCCGUACACCCUUUUGUGAACUGUUAGGACAAAAAUAGCUUUUCAACAUCAUAUUCAGAUAUCAUGAAAAACAGGAGUCAACUCGUAUCGGAAAAAGGAGUCAGCAGAAAUCAAGAACAUUCAGAGUUAUGGGAUUAGCCCUGGAUUUGGGCUUCAGGGUCACAACGUAAAUAUUUUGUCAUGAAUUAAUUUAACAAAAUUGUUCAAGUAAUGGCAUCGGCAGCCUCUCCCCACAAUCAGACAUGAAAUUAAUAGGGAGAAAUUGUUACCUAAUGUUCAGUGAAUAGCAGUGGCUGGCUCUCUCCAAAUCUCAUUUCUACAAAGCUACUUUACAGCAGAGUACAGCAGUCUCCAAUUGGAGAUAAACAUCAGGCAAAGGCCUUUCUAUUUUGCCAAAGGAACAUAAAGGUGCCUUUUCAGAAAAUGAGAAAGUGCCUGUACUUUCGCUGCCAGCUCAGAGACCAGUGUACCUCAGCACCUAUUACAAAUCAAAGGCGUGACACUCUUUAACAUCAGUUCAAGGUUUUGUCCUUAAUAUUUAAAAGGACAGUCUGCGAUCCCAGGAAAUUCUUGUAAAUGUGAAUGCUUCGCGCACAAAUAUGCCGUGACAUGCCUCAAAUAUAGCUGUAUAGUGAGGGUUAAAAAACUGCCAGAGUCUAAAACGCUUUCAUGAAUUCAAAAAACAACAAAAAAACAGACGUCAAAAUCCUCCUUUCAUACGACUAUAUUGCUAGUACAUCAUUAGCUCCUGGGGACUUAUUUCUGAUUUGUAGCAGAGAAUGGGAGAAGUGAGACCUAUUUAUCUCCCUGCUGGAAAGUCUCUCCUACAUUAAAGAAAUCUUCUUAGCCCUUUGCUUUUUCUAUUGAGUUUUCAAAAGCAGAAAAUCUAGAAAAGCGUUAUACUCAUAACUAUUUUUUUUGCCUUUAGUAUUCAGUCUCUCACAAGGCUGCCAAUGCAGAAAUUAUAUUAAAAGCAGCAGCAAAUUAGGUUAGAGGAUUAAGGAACAGCAAAGCUUUUUGAGGUGUGUUGUGCAUCUGAUUUUCCCCUGCUUUUCACCUCAGGUGGAGAUUGCAGGUACUCGUGCAAAGCGAGCACACAACCUUGGAAAAGCAGCAGAGAGGCAAGUCUGCAGUCUGUAGUUAAUAUUACUCCACCAUCAAUAGGAAAAAUGUUAUGAAGGGGGGAAAAAAACAACGUCAGUUCCCUCCUAGUAGAAAGACCCAGGAAGGCAGAAGAGGUAAAGAGCUUGAUCAAACUCUAUGAAGUCUGGGAUCUGCUUCAUGAAAAUGAGUUCCACUUUCCUGUAGCACCGACUGCACCUAAGGAAAAGUGAAAACCCAAACAAGCAUCUCUCCCUAUGUAAGGUUAUCUGCAGUCUGUACAUCUCAGGCCAGCCUCACCCUUGCAUUUUGCCUUCAACCCAGAGUAGAUGCUAAAUUUUGAGAUGAGUCAAAGGGCAAGACCUUGUGUCUGUCUGUACACACACACGUGGUAUUGCAUUAACAACCCGUACCGAAAACCUUGAAAGUCAAAACA